GGGAGCACAGGAUCCUGGGCUGUGUCCCCUGGCGCCCUGGGAUCUGGGGCCUGUGCUGCUGGAAUCGUGCUCCCGGGGCGCGGCUCCU
rnacentral:pre_miRNA from 1 species